UACGUAGGGCGCAAGCGUUAUCCGGAAUUAUUGGGCGUAAAGAGCUCGUAGGCGGUCUGUCGCGUCUGCUGUGAAAUCUGGGGGCUCAACCCCCAGCCUGCAGUGGGUACGGGCAGACUAGAGUGCGGUAGGGGAGAUUGGAACUCCUGGUGUAGCGGUGGAAUGCGCAGAUAUCAGGAAGAACACCGAUGGCGAAGGCAGAUCUCUGGGCCGUAACUGACGCUGAGGAGCGAAAGCAUGGGGAGCGAACAGG
rnacentral:rRNA from 1 species